UACGGGAGGCAGCAGUGGGGAAUAUUGCACAAUGGGCGCAAGCCUGAUGCAGCCAUGCCGCGUGUAUGAAGAAGGCCUUCGGGUUGUAAAGUACUUUCAGUCGUGAGGAAGGUGUUAAGGUUAAUAACCUUAGCAAUUGACGUUAGCGACAGAAGAAGCACCGGCUAACUCCGUGCCAGCAGCCGCGGUAAUACGGAGGGUGCGAGCGUUAAUCGGAAUUACUGGGCGUAAAGGGCACGCAGGCGGUUAAUUAAGUUGGAUGUGAAAUCCCCGGGCUUAACCUGGGAAUGGCAUUCAAGACUGGUUAGCUAGAGUCUUGUAGAGGGGGUAGAAUUCCAUGUGUAGCGGUGAAAUGCGUAGAGAUGUGGAGGAAUACCGGUGGCGAAGGCGGCCCCUGGGACAAAGACUGACGCUCAUGUGCGAAAGCGUGGGGAGCGAAACAGGGAUUAGA
rnacentral:rRNA from 1 species